UACGUAGGGGGCGAGCGUUGUCCGAAGUUACUGGGCGUAAAGCGCGCGUAGGCGGCCAUCUAAGUCUGGGGUGAAAGGUUCAGCGCUCAACGCGAACAGUGCCUUGGAUACUGGGUGGCUUGGGUCCUGGAGAGGGCAGUGGAAUUCCUGGUGUAGCGGUGAAAUGCGUAGAUAUCAGGAGGAACACCGGUGGCGAAGGCGGCUGCCUGGCCUAGGACCGACGCUGAGGCGCGAAAGCGUGGGGAGCGAACGGG
rnacentral:rRNA from 1 species